rnacentral:rRNA from 1 species
UACGGAGGGUGCAAGCGUUAUCCGGAUUCACUGGGUUUAAAGGGUGCGUAGGCGGGGAUGUAAGUCAGUGGUGAAAUCCCCGAGCUUAACUCGGGAACUGCCAUUGAUACUAUAUAUCUUGAAUACUGUGGAGGUUAGCGGAAUAUGUCAUGUAGCGGUGAAAUGCUUAGAUAUGACAUAGAACACCAAUUGCGAAGGCAGCUGGCUACACAAAUAUUGACACUGAUGCACGAAAGCGUGGGGAUCAAACAGG